rnacentral:rRNA from 1 species
UACGUAGGGCGCAAGCGUUAUCCGGAAUUAUUGGGCGUAAAGAGCUCGUAGGCGGUUUGUCGCGUCUGCCGUGAAAGUCCGGGGCUCAACUCCGGAUCUGCGGUGGGUACGGGCAGACUAGAGUGAUGUAGGGGAGAGUGGAAUUCCUGGUGUAGCGGUGAAAUGCGCAGAUAUCAGGAAGAACACCUAUGGCGAAGGCAGCUCUCUGGGACGGUACUGACGCUGAGACGCGAAAGCGUGGGGAGCGAACAGG